rnacentral:rRNA from 1 species
AACGGCGUCGAGCGGCGGACGGGUGAGUAAUGCCUAGGAAAUUGCCCUGAUGUGGGGGAUAACCAUUGGAAACGAUGGCUAAUACCGCAUGAUGCCUACGGGCCAAAGAGGGGGACCUUCGGGCCUCUCGCGUCAGGAUAUGCCUAGGUGGGAUUAGCUAGUUGGUGAGGUAAGGGCUCACCAAGGCGACGAUCCCUAGCUGGUCUGAGAGGAUGAUCAGCCACACUGGAACUGAGACACGGUCCAGACUCCUACGGGAGGCAGCAGUGGGGAAUAUUGCACAAUGGGCGCAAGCCUGAUGCAGCCAUGCCGCGUGUGUGAAGAAGGCCUUCGGGUUGUAAAGCACUUUCAGUCGUGAGGAAGGCGGUGUAGUUAAUAGCUGCAUCAUUUGACGUUAGCGACAGAAGAAGCACCGGCUAACUCCGUGCCAGCAGCCGCGGUAAUACGGAGGGUGCGAGCGUUAAUCGGAAUUACUGGGCGUAAAGCGCAUGCAGGUGGUUUGUUAAGUCAGAUGUGAAAGCCCGGGGCUCAACCUCGGAAUUGCAUUUGAAACUGGCAGACUAGAGUACUGUAGAGGGGGGUAGAAUUUCAGGUGUAGCGGUGAAAUGCGUAGAGAUCUGAAGGAAUACCGGUGGCGAAGGCGGCCCCCUGGACAGAUACUGACACUCAGAUGCGAAAGCGUGGGGAGCAAACAGGAUUAGAUACCCUGGUAGUCCACGCCGUAAACGAUGUCUACUUGGAGGUUGUGGCCUUGAGCCGUGGCUUUCGGAGCUAACGCGUUAAGUAGACCGCCUGGGGAGUACGGUCGCAAGAUUAAAACUCAAAUGAAUUGACGGGGGCCCGCACAAGCGGUGGAGCAUGUGGUUUAAUUCGAUGCAACGCGAAGAACCUUACCUACUCUUGACAUCCAGAGAACUUUCCAGAGAUGGAUUGGUGCCUUCGGGAACUCUGAGACAGGUGCUGCAUGGCUGUCGUCAGCUCGUGUUGUGAAAUGUUGGGUUAAGUCCCGCAACGAGCGCAACCCUUAUCCUUGUUUGCCAGCGAGUAAUGUCGGGAACUCCAGGGAGACUGCCGGUGAUAAACCGGAGGAAGGUGGGGACGACGUCAAGUCAUCAUGGCCCUUACGAGUAGGGCUACACACGUGCUACAAUGGCGCAUACAGAGGGCAGCCAACUUGCGAAAGUGAGCGAAUCCCAAAAAGUGCGUCGUAGUCCGGAUUGGAGUCUGCAACUCGACUCCAUGAAGUCGGAAUCGCUAGUAAUCGUGGAUCAGAAUGCCACGGUGAAUACGUUCCCGGGCCUUGUACACACCGCCCGUCACACCAUGGGAGUGGGCUGCAAAAGAAGUAGGUAGUUUA